UUUCUCACCCGGUUUCGUUGUGCUCGUAGCAUGCAAGGGUGUUUGCAUAUAGCUACCUUGACCAUUGAGUUUAGGCUGCUUUAUUGGCACUGGCUUCGGUUGUUGUUUUGUUUACUGCUAAUUGCGACGCUGGUCGUUCGAUCGUUUUUUUUGUGAAAUUUUUAAGAAAAAAAUAAAACUUCUUCUAGCAAUUUUCCAUCCACAAAAGGGCACGAUACGCUUCGGGGGUGUAAGCAUUCUCAGCCACCCUUUCUCGACCGUACAAUCACCCGUUCAAUGUGAAAGCACAAUAACAUGUCAGGCAAGACGUCAGUAUGGCUCAAAAAGAUAAACAACACUGCAAAGCACGACAAGAUCGAUUUUAUAUUUCUCACUAUCGUAAAUGAUUGUUUAUGUUGAAAGUGUAGCUUCGGAAAAGUAAUUUCAUUUCGUAACUCUCGUUCUCAGUACAAGAAAACACUUGUGCAGAGGCUAGAGUCCGAAAUCUAUCAGAAUGUGAACUAGAGUAAAGCUUCGCAGAUAUUUCGGAUCUAAAUACGGUUAAUUAUUCCUGAUUAAACAUGUGCUGUCCACGACGAAUAGCAACAAGACGUCUUGGAGAACUUAAUCCUAACAUAACUUUACUCAAUAGGCUCAAACGUUCGCUACUAUCGUAAAACAAGCAGCCACUAUUUAUGCAAUUGUUUUCGAUGGAACAAAAACUUACAUAUUCCUUACGUACGCAGAAUUCAAGACUACCCUAGCAAGCUACGGAAAUUUCAUGAGGAGGAACAGUCACAUACCGGAGGUGGCGGAUUAAGGGUAUCAGGGGCCUUAGGCGCUUAAGAUGUCUUGAGGCCCCCUUUAGAUGGCGAGCGAGGUUAGGAGAUUGAACAGUCUACUGUAAUUGCUGACGAACACUUCAAAUUCCAAUGUUCCUAUGGAGACUUCAUCUGUGUCACUCAAACGCAGCUAUCUCAAGUGUGCCUAUAGAUGCAAUCAACUUAUCGCCGUCCGACAUCGAUGUAUCGAUUGAAUCAGUUGAACAAGCAUAUCGAUCAAACCGUUCCUAAGGUCUAUGAUGAUGUUCGUGAAUCGUAGCAUUUUUUGUUUUUAGUUUUUGCUGAACCUUCAAAAUAUUUUAAAUGUCACUGCAACAAAAAAUGUUUCCUCUUUUGUAGAAAUUCUUUUCAAAGUUUCGCGUUUUUAAACAAAACUGUGUGAAAUACACAAGUAGCAAACUACAGAAGAAUCACAUAUAAAUGCUCCUGCUCGAAAAUCUUGUAAAUCAUUCUUCACCGUGAGCUCCUGGAUUGUUACCGUGGGGUUAUAAGUUAGCAUCAGCAUGGAUAUUUCCCCCGAAGAUUAGUUAAAACCAACUUUUUGGAGUUGGUCUAAAAGGGUCACGAAACCUACCAGCUUAAACCGGGGUUGUCCCUCGAAUUGAUCUAGAAUCUUUCCCGUUGUCGGAACUGAUCUUGACACUCCCUCAGUCCAGAAACUCUGGAAUGUGUCUUAUGUGGUUUGUUAAAAGCACACCCAUUUUUGUUGGGCUCAACAACCCUAAUUGGUCUAGGCCAGUGCCAAGCCCGCUUUUAAGUGGAGUCAUUAUCUGAGACAAAUUCCCACCCUCUGCAUGAUAGUAAUGAUAAUGGGUCCUGUGUACAUCGAGACAAAUACAGUCCGAUUGAACAACGCACCACGUGUUGGGCCAAACACGUGUUGCGUACGAUUAUGAAGGAAUUUUGGAUUGUGCAACGUCAAUUACCUAAACUUGAACCGGUUGUUUACACAUUAAUCAGUCAGACUUGUUCGUCUGUAUUUAUUACAAACUUUAUAAAACAAAGAUGUAACCCCUCCACUUAUUCAAAUACAAUUCCCUGUGCCAGUGG